AUUGAACGCUGGCGGCAGGCUUUACCCAUGCAAGUCGAACGAGUGGCGGACGGGUGAGUAAUGUCUGGGACAUUGCCUGAUGGAUGGGGAUAACUACCCGAAAUGGCAGCUAAUACCGCAUACCAUCGGCUGUGCCCAUAUCGGAUUAGCUAGUUGGGGGGGUAAAGGCUCACCAAGGCGACGAUCCCUAGCUGGUCUGAGAGGAUGACCAGCCAAACUGGGACUGAGACACGGCACAGAGUCCUACGCGAGGCAGCAGUGGGGAAUGUUGGAGAGAGGGCGAAAGCGUGAUGGAGCCAUGCCGCGUGUGUGAGGAAGGCCUUCGGGUUGUAAGGUACUGUUAGCCGGGAAGGGUUACACGAAGAAUAAGCAGCGGCUAACGCCGUGCCAGCAGCCGCGGUAAUAC
rnacentral:rRNA from 1 species